rnacentral:RNase_P_RNA from 1 species
GUGUGCCUGGGUAGGGACUUCCGGUGCCUUAGGGGCACUGAGGAAGCCCGUCCACCAUCAAAACCCCACCCCAGUAAUGGGGAACCCGAAAAGGGUUGGGAUGGAGCAGAAACGACACCUCCACUAAAUAGAUGUUCAUGAUCUCGAAAGAGUGAAGAAUUUUAGUGGAGGUUGAAACGCUCCUAACCUGGGGGGUGCAAGCCUUAGGCGCUUAGUCGAAUGUCCCUAAGACAGAAGACGGGCUAUUACCCAGGCACAC